UACAGAGGUGGCAAGCGUUGUUCGGAAUUACUGGGCGUAAAGGGCGCGUAGGCGGUCUCGUAAGUCCUGUGUGAAAUCCCCCGGCUCAACUGGGGAACUGCACAGGAAACUGCUUGACUUGAGUUCGGGAGAGGGAAGCGGAAUUCCGGGUGUAGCGGUGAAAUGCGUAGAUAUCCGAAGGAACACCGGUGGCGAAGGCGGCUUCCUGGACCGACACUGACGCUGAGGCGCGAAAGCCAGGGGAGCAAACGGG
rnacentral:rRNA from 1 species